AUUGAACGCUGGCGGCAGGCCUAACACAUGCAAGUCGAGCGGCAGCGGAAGGAAGCUUGCUUUCUUGCCGGCGAGCGGCGGACGGGUGAGUAAGGUAUGGGGAUCUGGCCGAAGGCGGGGGAUAACCACUGGAAACGGUGGCUAAUACCGCAUAAUCUCUAAGGAGCAAAGUGGGGGACCGUUCAGGCCUCACACCUUCGGAUGAACCCAUAUGAGAUUAGCUAGUAGGUGGGGUAAUGGCUCACCUAGGCGACGAUCUCUAGCUGGUCUGAGAGGUUGAUCAGCCCCACUGGGACUGGGACACGGCCGAGACGCCUACGGGAUGCAGCAGUGGGGAAUAUUGCACAAUGGGCGAAAGCCUGAUGCAGCCAUGCCGCGUGUAUGAAGAAGGCCUUCGGGUUGUAAAGUACUUUCAGUCGUGAGGAAGGUGUUAAGGUUAAUAACCUUAGCAAUUGACGUUAGCGACAUAAGAAGCACCGGCUAACUCCGUGCCAGCCGCCGCAGUAA
rnacentral:rRNA from 1 species